UACAGAGGGUGCAAGCGUUGUUCGGAAUUAUUGGGCGUAAAGCGCGUGUAGGCGGCUUGGCAAGUCGGGUGUGAAAGCCCUCAGCUCAACUGAGGAAGUGCGCCCGAAACUGCUGAGCUCGAGUGCCGGAGAGGAUGGCGGAAUUCCCCAAGUAGAGGUGAAAUUCGUAGAUAUGGGGAGGAACACCGGUGGCGAAGGCGGCCAUCUGGACGGUGACUGACGCUGAGACGCGAAAGCGUGGGAGCAAACAGG
rnacentral:rRNA from 1 species